rnacentral:rRNA from 1 species
GACAACGCUGGCGGCGUGCUAACUACAAUGCUAAGUCGAACGCUUUUGUUUUCACCGGAGCUUGCUCCACCGAAAACAAAAGAGUGGCGGACGGGUGAGUAACACGUGGGUAACCUGCCCUCAAGCGGGGGAUAACACUUGGAAACAGGUGCUAAUACCGCAUAACAAUCAAAGUCGCAUGAUUUUGAUUUGAAAGGCGCUUUUGCGUCACUUGAGGAUGGACCCGCGGUGCAUUAGCUAGUUGGUGAGGUAACGGCUCACCAAGGCCACGAUGCAUAGCCGACCUGAGAGGGUGAUCGGCCACACUGGGACUGAGACACGGCCCAGACUCCUACGGGAGGCAGCAGUAGGGAAUCUUCGGCAAUGGACGAAAGUCUGACCGAGCAACGCCGCGUGAGUGAAGAAGGUUUUCGGAUCGUAAAACUCUGUAUGUUAGAGAAGAACAAGGGUGAGAGUAGAAUGUUCACCCCUUGACGGUAUCUAAACCAGAAAGCCACGGCUAACUACGUGCCAGCAAGGCCGCGGUAAUAACGUAGGU